UCUUAAACUUACAGUUGUGCCUGACUACAUGUUUGGGGGCAAGCAGUUCUACCCGUUAUUUUUACUAUCUCCACACUUCAGACAUACUGAUGUUUGAGCCAUAAAAUAUGCAGGCAGAGAAAAAAACAGGAACACUUUAAGCAUAAAGACGGGAUCUAUCGUGCAGAAGUCAUGACAUUAGCAAGGUUUGAGAUUCGUACCUUUUUCUGCUCCUACCACACAUCAAGACAGGAACCAGAUGACCUGAGAAGACAGAACCCUGAAGAAGGGAAAUAAGGAGCUUCAAGGCUUGAGGAGAAGAGGAGGAGGAAAGAGAGUUUAUAUGCUGCCAAAGCACCACUGUCUACUAAGUUUUUGAGGAAACCAUAUUGCUAGAGAAACUGCAAGCCUGAGCAGCCUCCAAUUGUUGAAGACUUACAUCCAUCUUGGACCUCCAAACAUUCAUAAGCAGGAAGCAGGCCUCAAAAACUAUGGCCCCCAAAUGAGGGCUUGUUCCCCAACCCCCACUUUAGACAUGGAGAAGAAGAAUAAUGGACAAGGAGGCUCCUCCCAGAAGGAUCCAAGGACCCCUGAGGUUGGUGGACAAUGGACUUCCAGCACAGAUUGGAAUCAGAACACAAUCAAGGACACUGUCUCUCCAAUAGAAACUCUUCCUAUGUCUGCCCAGAGUAAUUCCUUAACUGUGAUGGACAAAGAGCUGUGGCAUCAUUGCUUUCCAUUUUUUGAAUGAAAGUUAUGGUGCAGUAAUCCUUUCCCUGCUCCAGCAGGUGAGGGGGUGGCAGAGAGGGGCCAAUAAUUUGUCAUUUUGUUCCUAGAUUGCCAGACCAAGAGGAGCUAUGUCUUGGUCUGCAAAAAAGAACCAGACAUUGCCACAAAUCCUGGGCUUGAGCUGAAUGCAGGGACUGGUGGGUUUCUCUGUUGUGUCCCUUGGAGAGGGAGUGAAGACUUCUUAUGCAGUGCCUCUCAACAUAUUCUAACCUUCCUGCCUGCUAGGCUUGCCAUGUGUUGUGUUCCAGACAGUAAAAUUUAAGCAGAAGUUCUGACUUUCUUACUGCUGGGCUAAGGUAGUUACGUACUAGUGUACUAGUGUGUCUCCCCACAAUGAACCUCCCACCUUCUUCCCACAAAGCCCAAGGGAUAAAAUUCAGGGCAAAUUAGAAUCCAAAAGAAGGAGCCACAAAGUGGAAGAAACCUGGAUGCCUGAGUCACUAUGUGGGGAAAACACCAACUAAAAAGCUUUAUGUGAUCCACAUUUGAUAUGAGUGAGAAAUAAAUUUUUGAUUGUUUUAGGCCAUUGAUAUUUUGAGAUUGCAACAACAGCUAGUAUAAGUUAGCCCAAUGCUUUAGGAAAACGUCUAUUUGUUUAUCUAAUCUAUGAAGAUCACUGACUCAUUACUCUGUUUUGUUUUCUUAAUGAACACAAUAUACCAUGUGGGUAAGAGAUAAGGGGAAGGGGUGGAGGGGGGAUUUGGAGCCAGAAGACAAGAAGUUCUCUCUUUGCCUAUUCAUGCGUAUUUAGUAAAUUAACAUUUCCAUGCUGGGUCAUGAUUAUUUUCCCUGACCCUGCCCAGAAGAAAGCAAUCUCCAACUGUAUACUCACUGGCAUUUUGCUUUCAGGGAUACCGUUUUGUAAUUGGGCUCGGUUCAGUCCUCAUGGUCUGAAGAGAAAAUGAUAUACCAUGCUUUAAUAAGAGAUGUUCUGUCUUUAGUGCAAGACCCAGCCCACUGUUUGUAAUAAACUCUGAAGUCUGUGCUUGACAAGUACUACUUACAUACAGAGCAUGUCGUGAAGUAUAACAGAGAAGAUGAAGCCUGGUAAAAUGACACAGUUUGCUUCUCUCUUCAACAAAGGAAACUCUGAUUCUGGUUUUAGAAGGGACCGGCACCUUCUCCUUUCCCUGCCAGAUUUUCCUUCUACCAAGACUGGGGUCCAACUGUGAGCCCUGUGCUUCAGGUCAGGAGAAAUUCAGUAUGUGAAAGCAUUUUGCAAUCCGUAAAGCUUAAAUAUGCAUGCACGUUGUGAGGCAAUAUGGUAUAAAGGAAAGCAGAGGUUUAGACGUCAGUCCCACUCAUUUUAAAUCCUGGGUCCACUGCCCUCUAGCUAGGUAAUUCUUGGAAUGUUUCUCAACUUCUCUGAUCUUCAGUUCCCUCCACUAUAAAAUAAGAUCUAUAAGACCUACUACUUAGGGUGGGAAUAAAAUCAAUAACAUGUGAAUACCUAGCUCAGUGUCUGGUACAUGUUGGUGCUCAAUAAAUGUGUAAUUCCUUCCUUUCCCUUUCCUACCCACAUGCUGUCCUCAGGGUAGAACACAUAGAUGAUUCUUUCUCGUGCCCUGCCUGCCUCAGUACAUUUCUGGAUGUACGGAUUGAGACUUCCUGACUUACGAUUGCAUAAACUCCACAGCAAGUAUCUUUGGCUGUGUUAGUGCAAAUCCCUUGAAUAAUGUCCCAGUUCUCCUCUACGGCAGACUCCGUUGGAUUAAGAAAGAAGGCAACAGAAUGGAAAGAGCAUUCAACUUGGUGUCAAGUCCUGGGUACAGAUCUCUUUUCCAGCCUGUGCACUGUUGGUUAAAUUAGAAAUCUCUCUAAACCCCAAUUUACUCAUAUGGAAAAUGUCAGUUAUAGCUUCCAUAAAAGAACUUCAUGACAUAAAAAAACCUAGCACAAAUAUAAGGUAUUUCAGUAUACUUCCAGUAUAUCUUUGCUUACUCUUAUUGUCCUAUGUGUUAAUCCUACUAAAAAGCCUUGUGUCCCAUGUGUCUUCUCCCACACCUACUGAGUUUGUAAGGCAAGGUAGGUGCUUUGGGCAGGCAUCCAUCCAUGGCAUCACUUCAUCUAUCUUUGCUCAUGUUCAAGAAUGGUUUGGUUUCUUUCAUGCGCGUCCGUGUGAAGAGACCACCAAACAGGCUUUGUGUGAGCAACAUGGCUGUUUAUUUCACCUGGGUGCAGGCGGGCUGAGUCCGAAAAGAGAGUCAGCGAAGGGAGAUGGGGCGGGGCCAUUUUAUAGGAUUUGGGAAGGUAAUGGAAAAUUACAGUCAAAGGGCGUUGUUCUCUGGU
rnacentral:lncRNA from 1 species